rnacentral:rRNA from 1 species
ACUCCUACGGGAGGCAGCAGUAGGGAAUCUUCCACAAUGGACGAAAGUCUGAUGGAGCAACGCCGCGUGAACGAUGAAGGCUUUCGGGUCGUAAAGUUCUGUUGUAAGGGCCCAACAAGUGCCGAAAGCAAUGGCGGCACCUUGACGGUACCUUGCGAGAAAGCCACGGCUAA